rnacentral:rRNA from 1 species
ACCAAGGCGAUCGGGUGAACUGUGGUUAAGGAACUCGGCAAAUUGCCCCCGUAACUUCGGGAGAAGGGGGGCCUCCGCUGAUGAUCAGACUUGCUUUGUGAGCUGGUGGGGGUCGCAGAGGCCAGGGGGAAGCGACUGUUUACUAAAAACACAGGUCCGUGCGAAGUCGUAAGACGAUGUAUACGGACUGACGCCUGCCCGGUGCUGGAACGUUAAGGGGACCGGUUAGCGCAUCUUCGGGUGUGCGAGGCUGAGAACUUAAGCGCCAGUAAACGGCGGUGGUAACUAUAACCAUCCUAAGGUAGCGAAAUUCCUUGUCGGGUAAGUUCCGACCUGCACGAAUGGCGUAACGACUUCCCCGCUGUCUCAACCGCAGACCCGGCGAAAUUGCACUACGAGUAAAGAUGCUCGUUACGCGCAGCAGGACGGAAAGACCCCGGGACCUUCACUACAGCUUGACAUUGGCGUUUGGAACGUCUUGUGUAGGAUAGGUGGGAGACUGCGAAGCUGUCACGCUAGUGGUGGUGGAGUCAUUGGUGAAAUACCACUCUGGUCGUUUUGAACGUCUAACUUCGGUCCGUGACCCGGAUCAGGGACAGUGUCUGGUGGGUAGUCUAACUGGGGCGGUUGCCUCCUAAAGAGUAACGGAGGCGCCCAAAGGUUCCCUCAGCCUGGUUGGUAAUCAGGUGUCGAGUGUAAGUGCACAAGGGAGCUUGACUGUGAGACCGACGGGUCGAGCAGGAGCGAAAGCUGGGACUAGUGAUCCGGCGGUGGCAUGUGGAAGCGCCGUCGCUCAACGGCUAAAAGGUACCCCGGGGAUAACAGGCUGAUCUUCCCCAAGAGUCCAUAUCGACGGGAUGGUUUGGCACCUCGAUGUCGGCUCGUCGCAUCCUGGGGCUGGAGUAGGUCCCAAGGGUUGGGCUGUUCGCCCAUUAAAGCGGUACGCAAGCUGGGUUUAGAACGUCGCGAGACAGUUCGGUCCCUAUCCGCUGCGCGCGCAGGAGACUUGAAAGGAGCUGUCCCUAGUACGAGAGGACCGGGACGGACGAACCUCUGGUGUGCCAGUUGUUCCGCCAGGAGCAUGGCUGGUUGGCUACGUUCGGAAGGGAUAACCGCUGAAAGCAUCUAAGCGGGAAGCUCGCCUUGAGAUGAGGUCUCCCACCACGAGAGUGGGUAAGGCCCCCGGGAGACGACCGGGUUGAUAGGCCGGAGGUGGAAGCAUGGUAACGUGUGGAGCUGACCGGUACUAAUAGGCCGAGGACUUGACC